CCUACGGGAGGCAGCAGUGAGGAAUAUUGGUCAAUGGGCGCAAGCCUGAACCAGCCAAGUCGCGUGAGGGAUGACGGUCCUAUGGAUUGUAAACCUCUUUUGUCGGGGAGCAAGGCCCGCCACGUGUGGCGGGAAGGAGAGUACCCGAAGAAAAAGCAUCGGCUAACUCCGUGCCAGCAGCCGCGGUAAUACGGAGGAUGCGAGCGUUAUCCGGAUUUAUGGGGUUAAAAGGGUGCGUAGGCGGAAGGUUAAGUCAGCGGUAAAAUGUCGGUGCUCAACACCGGCCUGCCGUUGAAACUGGUCUUAGUGAGGGAGCGAGAAGUAUGCGGAAUGCGUGGUGGAGCGGUGAAAUGCAGAGAUAGCACGCAGAACUCCGAUUGCGAAGGCAGCAUACCGGCGCUCAACUGACGCUGAGGCACGAAAGCGUGGGGAUCGAACAGGAUUAGAUACCCUUGUAGUC
rnacentral:rRNA from 1 species